UUUUUAAAUCCAGAAGCAGAUCUGGAUGUUCCCAGAACAGAAGAACUGUGAAUUAGUGGUCAAAAGUUUUGAUUUAGAUCCAAACUGUAUGACUUAAGCCCAUCUUAAAAAUAACUUAAAAAUGUACAGUAAAAUACCAAAAUCUCCAUUUAUUGACUGAACAAUGUGUUAUGGUAUGAAUCACAGGAGGUAACCUAUACCUACCCACAUUUAUUCCAAACUCUUUUCUUAAUGAUCUGUCUCCCUUUUUUAUUUCAUUAUUGAAUGGCAGCAAAGAUUGACUCAUGGCCUUCUGAGAAGGCCUGGUUUAUAGCAGAAGAGCUGCUAAGCUCAUGUCCUGGUUGUGCAGGGCAGCUUCCAGUGGUGCAUCAUCUGUCCUCAAGUCCAUAACUGGACAGCCCGUCUCUUCUACAGCUCCUUGGUUCUCCAAAGCAAUCUGUCUACCUGGGGUGCAAGCUGUGUGAUGGAGAUGUUGGUUACAUCCCAUCAGCCAGGGCUCAGUCUAAACCACAGAGAUCCUGCCUUUCGGCUUUCAGAGGAGUGAUUUCUAGACCCAGCUACCAAAGCUGUCCCACUGCCAUGCUUCCUAAGGGAUUCCCAUACUGGUUUCCAAUGGCUGGAAAAUGGGUUUUCAAGACUGUUUGUCUUCUCCUGUGCUGCUGAAGUAUCGCAAAGCCUGUUCUUGGGGAACAAUAAGAAGCAGAACUGGUGACAAUUCUGGUAUUAAAACAUGCUUCAUUUUGUAAGGCUUAGCUCCUAUUCAUGUUGCCAAACUUAAAUUGCUUAAGCUAAAGUUCCCAUGCUGGCUGUCUAUCAUGUGGGUUUGUUGUUUGUUUUUAGAAAGUUUUGGCUGAAACACUUCAGCCAUGUCUGGCACUACAGUUCCAACAAUUUUGUUUUGCUCAUGUUGAAAAAGAAAUGAAAAGGGCUUCUUCUCUUGUGAAGCUUAGGCUUGUUUUGGAGACUGGUCUUGAGAUUGGGCACAGUAGCUGCUGUCAUGCUCCCGAUGUGCCUUUUGCUGGCAUAGUAAUAAGCCAUUGAAACAUCUCAACCCGUGAGGGCUGGGGAAGACUUGUCAGGUCCCAGAGCACAGCCUUCUGGGGAGCCUCUCUUCCCCAGCAUGCCCCCUUUCCCCCACCUCAGCAGGUGGUCUGUGAAUGUCUGCCAGCCCCCCUGCUCCCACCAUGAAUGUGCUCCACAAGCAGGCUGCGAGGCUUCCC
rnacentral:lncRNA from 1 species